rnacentral:rRNA from 1 species
CCCUUAGACGUUCUGGGCCGCACGCGCGCUACACUGACCAGUGCAACAAGCAUCCGUCCUUGGCCGACAGGCCCGGGCAAUCUUUGAACGCUGGUCGUGAUGGGGAUAGACUUUUGCAAUUUUUGGUCUUCAACGAGGAAUUCCUAGUAAACGCAAGUCAUCAACUUGCAUUGAUUACGUCCCUGCCCUUUGUACACACCGCCCGUUGCACCUACCGAUUGAAUGGUCCGGUGAAGCCUCCGGAUUGGCGCGCACCUCGGUGCCGCCGAGAAGUUGGCUAAACCUUACCAUUUAGAGGAAGGUGAAGUCGUAACA